rnacentral:rRNA from 1 species
UACGUAGGGUGCAAGCGUUAUCCGGAAUUAUUGGGCGUAAAGAGCUCGUAGGUGGCGUGUCGCGUCUGCCGUGAAAGCCCAUGGCUUAACUGUGGGUCUGCGGUGGAUACGGGCAGGCUGGAGGCUGGUAGGGGCAAGCGGAAUUCCUGGUGUAGCGGUGAAAUGCGCAGAUAUCAGGAGGAACACCGGUGGCGAAGGCGGCUUGCUGGGCCAGUUCUGACGCUGAGGAGCGAAAGCGUGGGGAGCGAACAGG